UACGUAGGGGGCAAGCGUUGUCCGGAAUCAUUGGGCGUAAAGAGCGUGUAGGCGGCCCGAUAAGUCCGCUAUGAAAGUCCAGGGCUCAACCCUGGGAUGCCGGUGGAUACUGUCGGGCUCGAGUCCGGAAGAGGAGUGUGGAAUUCCUGGUGUAGCGGUGAAAUGCGCAGAUAUCAGGAGGAACACCAAUGGCGAAGGCAGCACUCUGGGACGUGACUGACGCUGAGGCGCGAAAGCUAGGGGAGCGAACGGG
rnacentral:rRNA from 1 species